GAGUUUGAUCGUGGCUCAGAUUGAACGCUGGCGGCAUGCCUUACACAUGCAAGUCGAACGGCAGCAUGAUCUAGCUUGCUAGAUUGAUGGCGAGUGGCGAACGGGUGAGUAAUACAUCGGAACGUGCCCUGUAGUGGGGGAUAACUAGUCGAAAGAUUAGCUAAUACCGCAUACGACCUGAGGGUGAAAGUGGGGGACCGCAAGGCCUCAUGCUAUAGGAGCGGCCGAUGUCUGAUUAGCUAGUUGGUGGGGUAAAGGCCCACCAAGGCGACGAUCAGUAGCUGGUCUGAGAGGACGAUCAGCCACACUGGGACUGAGACACGGCCCAGACUCCUACGGGAGGCAGCAGUGGGGAAUUUUGGACAAUGGGCGAAAGCCUGAUCCAGCAAUGCCGCGUGUGUGAAGAAGGCCUCGGUUG
rnacentral:rRNA from 1 species